rnacentral:rRNA from 1 species
AUCUAGUAUAGCAUUAUAUCGUGAAACUGCGAAUGGCUCAUUAAAUCAGUUAUCGUUUAUUUGAUGGUACCUUACUACAUGGAUAACCGUGGUAAUUCUAGAGCUAAUACAUGCUGAAAACUCCGACUUCGGGAGGAGGGUGUUUAUUAGAUUCAAAGCCAAUGCCCUCCGGGGCUCUGUGCUGAUUCAUAAUAACCUGUCAGAUCGCAUGGCCUUGCGCCAGCGACGGAUCAUUCAAAUUUCUGCCCUAUCAACUUUCGAUGGCACGGUAGUGGCCUGCCAUGGUUUCAACGGGUACGGGCGUUAAGGGAUGGACGCCGGAGAGGUAGCCGGAGGAACGGCUUCCACAUCCAAGGAAGGCAGCAGGCGCGCAAAUUACCCAAUGGCGACACGCCGAGGUAGCGACAAGAAAUACCGAUACGGAGCUCUUUUGGGUUUUGUAAUUGGAAUGAGUACAAUUUAAACCUCUUAACGAGGAACAAUUGGAGGGCAAGUCUGGUGCCAGCAGCCGCGGUAAUUCCAGCUCCAAUAGCGUAUAUUAAUGUUGUUGCAGUUAAAAAGCUCGUAGUUGAACCUUUGGCCUGGCUGGCAGGUCCGCCUCACCGCGUGCACUUGUCCGGCCGGGCCUUCUCUUCUGGAGAACCGCAUGCGCUUCACUGCGUGUGCUGGGGACCAGGACUUUUACUUUGAAAAAAUUAGAGUGUUCAAAGCAGGCCUUUGCUCGAAUCCGUUAGCAUGGAAUAAUAGAAUAGGACGGCGAUCCUAUUUUGUUGGUUUCUGGGACCGCCGUAAUGAUUAAUAGGGCCAGUCGGGGGCAUCCGUAUUCAAUUGUCAGAGGUGAAAUUCUUGGAUCAAUUGAAGACGAACUACUGCGAAAGCAUUUGCCAAGGAUGUUUUCAUUAAUCAGUGAACGAAAGUUAGGGGAUCGAAGACGAUCAGAUACCGUCGUAGUCUUAACCAUAAACUAUGCCGACUAGGGAUCGGGCGUGUUUCUAUUGUGACUCGCUCGGCACCUUACGAGAAAUCAA